rnacentral:piRNA from 1 species
UUGUAAAAUACGAGUUACAUGUAUCUGC